rnacentral:lncRNA from 1 species
CCCGGCGUGCUGGGGCGCUGAGAGUGCUGUAAAAGAAGCGCCGAUUCAGAGUUACAGAAGUGGUGAGAAGAAAAAGGAGAGGUCAAGUAAUGCAGAGAGACAGAAACUCAGAUAUUAAACUUUCAGCAGAUGGAAUGAGUGCCCAUGUGCAAGCUUUGGUAGCAGAACAGCUUCAGGGGUUGGCCUUCAUGAGAAGAGACCUCCAUCUCCAACAGAGCCAGUGAUCUCUGAAAUACACCUGCUGCAGGAUAAAGAUCGAAAAGAAAUAUCUUCCUGGCAGCACUGCGUAUGGAAGGAAUAAGGAAAGUAACAAGGAGAAAGUUGCGCGCAUUUACAACAUGAAGAUGCUAUUCAAGGUCAGAAGAAGAAGGUCUUCUAUCUACGUAGAAGAAGGUGGAGACCAUAUAAACACUCAUUGAAAGAGACCCAUGGAGAAAACAGAAGUAGGGGAAAGCACUACAGCUGGAAAAUAAAUCUUGACAAUCCUCCAUUCUUGCUGUCAGACAACACCAGAAGCACACUGGCUUCAAGCAGUCCAGUAUCAAAGUGGAUUUGGAGAUUUGGCUAUU